GGCGCUAUAGCCAAGUGGUUACGGCGACAGAUUAGAAUAGUGAAUUCACGCAUUCCUGUUAUCUGUUCCUCUUUGAGGGCGCAGGUUCAAAUCCUGCUGGCGUCG